rnacentral:rRNA from 1 species
AGAGUUUGAUCCUGGCUCAGAACGAACGCUGGCGGCAGGCUUAACACAUGCAAGUCGAACGAUAUAGUGGCAGACGGGUGAGUAACGCGUGGAAACGUGCCUUUCACUACGGAAUAGCUUUUGGAAACGAAAGGUAAUACCGUAUACGCCCUCCGGGGGAAAGAUUUAUCGGUGAAAGAUCGGUCCGCGUUAGAUUAGCUAGUUGGUGAGGUAACGGCUCACCAAGGCUACGAUCUAUAGCUGGUCUGAGAGGAUGAUCAGCCACACUGGGACUGAGACACGGCCCAGACUCCUACGGGAGGCAGCAGUGGGGAAUAUUGCACAAUGGGCGCAAGCCUGAUGCAGCCAUGCCGCGUGAAUGAUGAAGGCCUUAGGGUUGUAAAAUUCUUUCGCCAGGGAUGAUAAUGACAGUACCUGGUAAAGAAGCCCCGGCUAACUUCGUGCCAGCAGCCGCGGUAAUACGAAGGGGGCUAGCGUUGUUCGGAAUUACUGGGCGUAAAGCGCACGUAGGCGGACUUUUAAGUCAGAUGUGAAAUCCCGAGGCUCAACCUCGGAACUGCAUUUGAAACUGGGAGUCUAGAGAUCAGGAGAGGUUAGCGGAAUACCGAGUGUAGAGGUGAAAUUCGUAGAUAUUCGGUGGAACACCAGUGGCGAAGGCGGCUAACUGGACUGAUACUGACGCUGAGGUGCGAAAGUGU